CUGGUCUUGGGCAGUAGCUGCAGUGUAGCUAUUGUGGCAGUAUGCCGCAGCUCGCCCUCUGAGACCUAUACUAGAACAGGAGGCUCAGAGAAGCCUGCACUGGCAGUUGCAGGUGUGAGCAUGUAUAAAGCAUGUUGAUGUUCAUGUAUGAUACUGCACACAAAC
ensembl:scaRNA